rnacentral:rRNA from 1 species
UACGGAGGAUCCGAGCGUUAUCCGGAUUUAUUGGGUUUAAAGGGAGCGUUGGCGGGAAGUCAAGUCAGUUGUGAAAUGUAGGCGCUCAACGCCUGCACUGCAGUUGAAACUGGUUUUCUUGUGUGCGUAAGGGGCAGGCGGAAUUCGUCGUGUAGCAGUGAAAUGCUUAGAUAUGACGAAGAACUCCGAUCGCGAAGGCAACUUGCCGGGCCGCAACUGACGCUGAAGCUCGAAGGUGCGGGUAUCGAAC